rnacentral:tRNA from 1 species
CGGGGUAUAGCGAAGUGGCAUCGCGUGCCGUUCGGGACGGCAAGGUCGGCGGUUCAAUUCCGCCUACCCCGA